rnacentral:lncRNA from 1 species
GGAAAGCCACUUACCUCGAUAUUGCGAAUACGAAAAUAUUAGCCGAAAAAUUCCUAAAUAUAAAUUUAAAAUAAAUAAAAUCAUUAGGAUAAAAUAUCCUACCUCAAACGUAUUCUUAUCUCAAGUCUUACGCACACCCAUGCUUAAUUUUAAUUCAAUAAGUAAUCAAAUUAUUACACCAUUUUUGAGAUUAUAAUCAUUUUUAAU